AUGGAGGUAAACUACUUCUUCUAUUUCUUCGUCUUCGUCACCUUAUAUAUAUAUAUAUAUAUAUUAUUUUCGGAUAUUUGCGGAAUUAGGGUUUCAAAAAUUUGUGACUUUAGAAGUUGCUUAAUUGUUUGAUCUUUUAGGGUUAUUAGGGUGGGUUAGGUUUGGAUGAUUAAUGUUCAGUUUUUAUGAUUUUUCUUUUGUUUUUUGAAAUUAUGCAAUGAAAAUUUGUUUCUUAUUCUCAGUUUGUCUAAUUUAAAAAAUAUCAAGCAAAACUGUUGUAACCUGUUAGCUUUUACUCUUUUGUAGUUCUCUAGUUUUGCUCAUGCUGGGGUUUUGUACCCUCAGGUAUAAUUCUUCUGUUUUAGGAUUUUUUUAAAAAAAAUUCACGUAAUGUAAAUUUGUUUAUUAUUCUCUGCAACUGAGCAAAUCUAUGUGAUAUUUGGGUUUGUUGAUGCUUUCAAAUUAGAAGGGCAUUAUUUAUUUAUUUAUUUGAAUUCUGUGAUGUUUUUUUUUUUUUUUUUUUGAAUUUGAUUGUCUACUAUUGUACAGAAUUGGAUGUUUCAUAUGAUUACCUGAAUUAUAAUUGUUGAUAUUGUUUGUGUCAACUUAUUUUNGUUUUUUUUUUUUUUUUUUUGAAUUUGAUUGUCUACUAUUGUACAGAAUUGGAUGUUUCAUAUGAUUACCUGAAUUAUAAUUGUUGAUAUUGUUUGUGUCAACUUAUUUUCUGAUGAAUAUAUACAUACAUAUAUAUAUUAAUUUAAAAAUGUGACUUAAUCAAUAGGAAACAACAAUUGCGGCAGAUGUGUCAGACUCAUUGCAAAGCAAACUAAAUGUUUCAUCUCCCGCAUCAUCCAUGUAUGUAAAGUUCCUCUUCAAGUUAUAAAAAUUCAAUGAACUUACAAUUUUUUUUGUUUGUUAGUUUGUUUCUGUUUUCAUUUUAAUUUUUUCUUUAUUUUUUACUUUCAGACAGCAACAGCAACAAUCACUAGAUACAUCUAUAGAACCUAUGGCUCCAAAAGGUAUGUAGUGUGUGCCAUAAUAAGUUUGAGCCAACCAACUCAUAUUUAAUGUUAUUUUUGUGUCCUACUCUAUUCAUCCUUUCUUGAUAUGUUUAUUUAAUUUUUUCCUCCAGAGGUUGCUAGGUAUUAUGCAUCUUCUGAUCUAGUGUCCAACCACUGUGCUGAUCUUAUAGACCAAAUUGCAAAUAGUGGGCUUGAUCAAUAUAAGGUUGCUCAAGACUUUCGUGAUAUAAAACGACCAACUGUUAGUCCACAAAAUGAUGGUUGUACAGUUCCUAUAAUUCGGUUGAUACAUUAUGAGGUGAGUUCACCACUUCCCGACUUAUUGUUUGUUCAAAAUAUUUUUGUCUUAAUAUUCUUGGCCAUGGUGAUAUUACCUUUUUGCUUUUCUAAACACUGUUAUUAGUUAUUACCAUUAAAAGAAUUGUUGGUUGGUAGGUAAAUAACAUCCCCUCCCUCCAUUGUAGCAAAAUUCAACGCCUCUUUCCUUUUAGAUUAGAGAUGAAUUUUGAUCGUUCCUAGAUUGGACUUGCUUUUUAGUUGAUUGACUGGUGGCAUUCCUUUGUGUGUGUGUGUAAUUUAUAACGGUCCUUGCACACAUUUGGCUGAUCCUGAUAAAUAUUUUGUGUUAAUAUGUUGAGAAUCAUGGUUGACCAUGUACUUGAUCCUUCUAUCAUGAGUACGUUUGUGACUAUAUUGUUGAGGAAAUAGAUCUUUUGUUUGAAGCAGGCCAUGUUGUUCCUCAUUAUUUGUGCUUAUUAGUGAAAGAAAUUCACAUUGCAGCAGGAAGUUUACUUUUCACCACUAGUUUAAACCUUUAGAUAGAAAUGUCAGCUCACAUGUUGGGCCUAGUUUAGUUGUGUUGUAGUUUUCUUUGUCUUUUGUAAGUUUUUUAUAAUUCAAAAUCAUAAAUCUAACCUCCUUUUUUGUUGUCUCAGGAUAAUAGCUACGCUUUAAAGUGGAUUUUAUUUGUCAACGGUAUGACUGUUAAGAUUUAAGGUUUUCUUUACUUCCAAGAGUUAUGAUUUGAGCUCCAACUUCUUCAUUUGGUUUUAACAUGAGGGUUUAGAGGAUGUUUAGUUCCUUGGGAAUCCAUUGGCCCCAUUAACAACCACCCUUCCCUCCUAUUCUCACGUAUCUAAAAUAAAAUGUUUCAUAUGAUUUUACGCUCGUCCUUGUGUAUUUCCUUUUUCCCUUUUGUACACCAUGUUACUUUUGGAGAUUUUAUGUCUUGAGUCGUUGUAGGUUUGUACAGUUUAAACAGGAAUCAGAGAACCCAUCUUUUAUCACUAUUUCCUUUCCAUUGUCUGCACUAUAUUUGUUUAUGUAUAUUCUUGAGAAUUUGAUUGUUUCCAAUAUAAUAUGGUGAUAAUACAGUUUUGACUCUGAUGCUGCUUGGAUUAAUUGCAGAAGAGAUGAAUGACCCUCGUACAAUGCUUGUAGAAGUAGAUGAGGAGGAUUAUGUUGAUGAUGAGGAUGAUGAUGAAGAAUGUUAUGAGAUAGAUGAAAAUUACGUUGAAGGUCAUGUUGAAAGUGCUGAUGAAGAUACGGAAGGAGACAAUCCUGAAAAUUUGGAAGAAGAAGACAAUUAUAUAGAUUUCUCCAAAAAGUAUGAUGAUUAUGCUGAUGAAUACAAGCCAGAUAAAAGUGACUUUCAAUACUUGGGUUGAAAUAUUGUUUCUUAUAAUUGGUGAGAGGUGUACAUGUCCUUGAAUUUCUAACAAUUUAGUAUUGAUGCACUGCAUUGAUUUUUUGCAUGGAAUAUGUUUUUCUUAUUCUAAAUCAAGAAUUUGAUGGCGCCAGAAAUAACCUUCUUUUUCCCUCCCUGCAAAGGUAGCGUAAGGGAGAGAUUAAGGAAUUGAUAUGAUUGGCCCCAGAUAAUGGGAACAUAGAAAGAAAUAUGAAAGAGGGGGGUUUUUUUUAAUGAAUAAGGAAGAGUACGUAAAGCUAAAGCCAUGAGAUUACUAGAAUGGUACUAUAAAAGCUUUUAUAUAUAGUCAUGGUAUAACCGUAUAAUACGACAGACAUGUGACUUGUUAAAAGUUAAGUUGUUUUGUACCAUUUUACAGACACAGGCUGUGGGUUUAGAGGGAAAGAGUCAUAA
rnacentral:sRNA from 1 species